rnacentral:rRNA from 1 species
AUACGGAGGGUGCAAGCGUUACUCGGAAUCACUGGGCGUAAAGCUCGCGCAGGCGGUCUUUUAAGUUGGAUGUGAAAGCCUACGGCUCAACCGUAGAACUGCAUCCAAAACUAUUAGACUAGAGUGUGGGAGAGGAAGAUGGAAUUAGUUGUGUAGGGGUAAAAUCCGUAGAGAUAACUAGGAAUACCAAAAGCGAAGGCAAUCUUCUGGAACACUACUGACGCUGAGGCGCGAAAGCGUGGGGAGCAAACAGGAUUAGAUACCCUAGUAGUCC